GCCAACGUGGUGUAGUGAUUUGAGUGCCAGACUAGGACUCUGGAAGACUGGGGUUCAAAUCCCUGCUGAGCCA